UACGUAGGGGGCUAGCGUUGUCCGGAUUUAUUGGGCGUAAAGAGCGUGUAGGCGGCCAUGUAGGUCCGGUGUGAAAACUCGAGGCUUAACCUCGAGAUGUCAUCGGAAACCAUUUGGCUAGAGUCCGGAAGAGGAGAGUGGAAUUCCUGGUGUAGCGGUGAAAUGCGUAGAUAUCUGGAGGAACACCGGUGGCGAAGGCGGCAUCCUGGACCGGCACUGACGCUGAGGAGCGAAAGCCAGGGGAGCAAACGGG
rnacentral:rRNA from 1 species